GCAUUCCUUUCCCAUGCAAAGGUGUUUAAGUUUAAAUAGAGUGCAGAAGAGAGGAACUGAUUCUAAUGCCAACUCAACUUGAGAAGCUUUGUCCCCAGAAUCUCUGCAUCAGAUUGUCUUGACAUCUUUGCUAUUCUGGAUACUAUGAAGCACAGUCGUUCAUGGGAAAUGAGAAUCUUCUCCACAGUUAUUAGGAGAUCAUUUCUUUUCUUACUCGCUUUAAAGACUUGUGGAAAAGAAGACAGAAAUCGGCUAAAAGAUCACCAGAAUAUUUCCACUCCUAAUGGAAACUUAUUUUUUGUUUUAGAGGAUCAGACAAGUGUCUAAGCCAAUGCAGAUUACUAUAUUUUUUCAUUUGCUGUAAGAACCUGGAACUUCUAUCCUAGAAACAUAAAAUGUGCAUGUGUGAAUGCAUACAGUGACACAUUUAUUGGUGUCAUAGCAAACAGGGUUAAAAUGCUGGUGAAGUAAACAGAAUAGUUUCAUUUUCCUUAGAUUUGUCUAUUAGAAAGUUGAAACCUUGAAAGAUAUUAAAAUUCAUUAAAUAAAACUUCU
rnacentral:lncRNA from 7 species